GUCUAGAUGGUGAAAUGGUAGACACGCAGGACUUAAAAUUCUGUCUUUACGGGUUCGAAUCCCGUUCUAGACA
rnacentral:tRNA from 1 species